UUUAAACUCUGUGAAAUGGACAUGAGUGCAUUCACCCCCAUGUCAGGAUAUAUUCAGUGUAGCACAGAGGGAGGGUGUGUGUAAGCCUGAAGUAUUCUACAGGGAUGGCUGUGCUAAUCUGGGGAGUGCCUGCUCUGUUUCUAGAGCUAACUCUCUGCACCUGGUACCCCAAUCAACGCUUGUAAAACUAUCCUUCACUAUGCCAUACUUCUGCCUGCAGCAAUAUGAAUAGGAAUCAGCUUUCAGCUUCUGAUAAACCCAGCGACUCAUUGUCCAGCUUCCUGUUCCUGAUAUGCAGAACACAUGUCAGAACAACUGGAGGGAUGACAACAAUGAGAGAUGAAAAAUGGACUUGGCCAGGUCUGGUUCUGGAUACUGCAACACUUAGUAAGACAAUAAAUAACAUCUACAGGAAUGUCCAGCUGAAGAGAAAAAGGUACCAUUGGCAUUACAUACUCCCAGGGCAACCAGUAUUUGGAAACAGCAAAGUUUCUGGAAUUCAGCACUGUUGCUUAAGUACUGCUGUGGGCUGAAAGAGAUUCUACAAGUCCAGCUACAGGAGAAGCAAAGGCCUCUGCUACAGGCACAAGUGUCCUAAAAGUCAGAUGCAGAAAUUCUUCUGGAAGAGAUACCACCCAGUUUCGGACUAGCAUACUUGGAAAAUACCUACAGAACUGAAGACCUGAAUGCACAGGUUGAACUGGACUGUGCUUAUGGCCAGCAGGCAACCUAUGUCCACAAGGGGAAUGAAUCCAGGCAGUUUUCUUUGACAUAAAAAGGAAGAAGUCUGAAUGUCUGUGGUAACUGAACUAUCCAAAUCACCUUAAUCAGUAGCCUCACUUGAGCACAGGAUAAAUGAUGCAAAACAGGCCAGAUUUAUACUUAAGGUUGAUAAUAACUAAUAAUUCAGAUUCUAGAAGUUUUAAAUAUCUAUAAAAUCAAAAGAAUUGACAAUGAGAAAAAUAUGCUUUUUUACUAAAACAUUUCCACAUAUGUUUCAUGGAUAAAUACCAGCUUAUUAUUAACUUUAGCAUAUCAAAAUAAACACGCUGAGUGAUUUUUCUCAGCCUCUGAUAAUACUGAGGUGGAAUAUAAAUAUUUCAGCAGUCCAAGCUCCCACAAAAGCAGUAGAAAAUCAUAGGCAUCUAACAUCUCACCAUUCACACUGCUUCCUGGGUAUGCUAAGGAAUUCCUUUGGCUUUUUCUUCCAAGCUGAGAUGAUGAGACUGGACAGGAAUUACUAUUACUUUAGUGGCAGAUUAAUAAGAAAUUAUGUGGAAAACAUUAAAAGCGUUUGGCAUUUAUACCAGUCUGUAAUAGUACUCAAUGGUGGUCAUUCUCUUGAAGGGGAUAAAUGCUUCAAUAAUGCUUAAUGUUCAGUUUGCAGUCAUUCUUCUGGAAUAGCAGAAACUCAAAAAUACAAUUAUGAAUCUAACUUGUCUGAUGACCGUUUAAAUUCCAUUAAUAGUGGACUUAGCUGCUGUAAGAAUUUCUUAUUCUUACUGCAAUUUUUCUGUUUUGAAACAUAUAGAAAGACUAGGUUUAAGUUAUAAACAGUACAGUAAUUCAUAUUGCUUACACCCUCUGGUUGGGGACUUGUAAUUUCAUAGUUAAUGACUUCAUUGUAAGAACAGUAAGAGAAACAGAAGAUGAUAGAAUGAUUUCAGCUUCUUUAGCCUUGAAGAGCAUUAUGAAAUAUAAAGCAAGGAAAGUUAGUGAAUCUAGUGCUGCAUAAGAAGAUUGUAAGCAUACCCCUGCCUGUGAAGCUUUCAUAUUCAGUCUUUUUGUGAUUCUAUUCUGAAAAUAGUAAGAGCUGCUACUAGAUUUUAAUUCUCAUAAGUGCCCAAUAUUUACACUCCAUAAAAACAGAAGGAGAAUAUGACUUCAAAAGAUCAUCUGUUAGUACCCCAUUUUCUGCCAUAUUUUUGACUCUGUGUCCUGAGUGCAGAAUAACUCAAUUUAGCUGAUCACUAAUUUUUGUUAAUGACACUUUUUGUUUAAGUGCCUGGAGUUGGUUACUGGUCUUAUCUGAUAAGAUAAACACAUUCUUUAAAAUGUUUUAAGAUAAUAAUUACCUCAAUUAAUAGUUAUAUUUACAAUGCCUAUCGGGCCCUGUGCACAAAUCUACCCGGAAACUAACUACAACUACCUGUGAAAGAAAUGAAUGGAAAAAGAUUAAAUACAUUAUUAAAUACAAACCUGAGGAUAUUGGUCAGUGAGGUACAUUUACACACACUCUAACAUUUUAGAUAUUUAUCUUAGCAGAUACUUUUUUAGAAAACUGUGAUGUGUACAAUGCUUCAUUGAUGAUACACUUUUGACAAUGCUGUCAUUAGUGCUGUUUUAAAACAUGGAGAAAACUGUUACAGCUAAUGACAUUGAAUUCCCCAGCCUUUUAUUUAGGAAAGAAAAUCAGUAGCCUGUGUGGAAUCUGCAUGGUAGAAAAGAGGAAAAUAAUAUUAAAAAAAAUCUGCAGUGGAAAAGUGAAAUAUUAUGAAGUCUGCUUUUUAUUUAUGAUCUAAAAGAAAUUACUCUGCCUGUUAGAUGGUUAGGUUGAUAUAAUGAUUUUUUUAGGGAGCAUAGUAUUAUUCAUGAAAUGUCUGCUAACUGGAGAACCAUUCAGGAACCUGGCUUGUAUAAGAAAGUGUUGUCAGCAGUAGCAGGACAGUGAUCGUUGGCCUGUACUUUGCUGGUGAGCAUGGUUGGUGAGGUUGCAGCUAGAGUACUGUGUUCGGUUUUGGACCCCUUGUUGAAGAAAGAAAUUGAGGUUUCUGAGCAUGUCAGGGGAAGGGCAACAAAGUUGGUGAAGGGUCUGGAGUGGCUGAGGGAGCUGGGAUUGUUCAGUCUAGAGAAGAGGGGGUUCAGGGGAGACCUCACUGUCCUCUACAACUACUUGAAAGGAAGGAGACGGUGGUGACAUUGGCUUCUUCUCCUGCAUAACUAGUGGUAGUGGUAGUGGUAGUGGUAACUAGUGGAAUGGCCUCAAGAUGUACCAGGAGAGGUUCAGAUUGGACAUCAGGAAAAAAAUUUUUCUCCAAAAGAGUGAUCAGGUGCUGGCACAGGCUGCCCAGGAAGGUGGUGGAGUCACCAUCCCGGGAGGUGCUCAAGAAACAUCUAGAUCCUCAAGGAUGGGGAGGGCUGGGAGAGGGUCCAUGCUCCAUAUUCUUGGCAAAUCACCCUCUACCACCCCCCACCUACCUUGUGUUCCCAGGUCCCCCUAAGCAAUAGGUUUGCAGCAUUGGACACUGAAGGGGGGGUAUGUGAGAAGGCACAGGAAGGCUCCCCUAAGAGGUUACAAAGGGCAAGACAGUCUACUCCACAUGCUGAGACUGUCUCUGCCAGGAAAGACAGAAGGGUGGUUGUGGUAGGUGACUCCCUUCUCAGAGGAACAGAAGGUCCCAUUUGCAGACCAGACCCAAGCCGUAGGAAAGUGUGCUGCCUUCCUGGUGCCCAGGUCAGGGACAUAACUAGAAAACUCCUGAAAAUGGUUCACUCUACCAAUUACUUCCCAUUGCUCAUAGUUCAGGUGGCCAGUGAUAAAAUCGCUCAGAGAAGCCCAUGAACUAUGAAAAGAGAUUUCAGGGGUUUAGGGUGAAUAGUUCAAUGAGCAGGAGCCAUAUGGUGUUUUGUUCUAUACCUCUGGGGCUGUAAAGGACAUGCAGUGGGCUAGGAAAACACAGGUAACGAAUAAUUGGCUCAGAGGCUGGUGUCAAGGCAGGAAUUUGGGGGUUUUUGACCAUGGGGCAGUUUAUUCAGCCCCUGGCCUGUUGUCCACGGAUGGAACUCACCUGUCUCAAAUGAGUCCUAGUGCAGGAGCUAGCAGGGCUUAUUGAGAGAGCUUUGAACUAGCUAUAUGGGGGAAGGGGACAAAACAGGGCUCACCAGAGAUGAGCCUAGGGGAACAGUGCUGAAACUGGGGGUGAGGCAGGUGUCUCAUCUGAAGUGCACCUAUGCCAAUGCAUGCAGCAUGGGCAACAAACAGGAGGAGCUGUUUAGCUGCAGGCUAACUAUGACCUAGUUGCUAUUACUGAAACAUGGUGGGACCACCCCAUGACUGGAGUGCUGUGAUGGAUGGCUACAAGCUCUUCAGAAGGGAUAGACAAGGAAGGAAGGCUAGCCGGUGAUGUGGCUCUUUAUAUUAAAGAAUGUUUUGAUGUUGAAGAGCUUGGGGUUGGGAAUGAUAAAGUUGAGUGUCUAUGGAUAAGGCCUGUAGGGGUGACAUCUUGGCAGGGGGGGGUGUGUUAUAGACCAUCUAAUCAGGAUAAAGAGAUGGAUGAGUCAUUCUAUGAGCAGCUUGUGGAAGUUGCACAAUUGCCAGCACUCGUUCUCAUAGGUAACUUCAACUUCCUUGAUAUAUGCUGGAAAUAUAAUACAGUGCAGAGGAAGCAGUCCAGGAGGCUUCUAGAGUAUGUGGAAUAUAGCUUCCUUGCAAAGCUGGUACGAGAGCCUACCAGGGUGGUGCCCUGCUAGAUCUGCUCUUCACUAACAGAGAAGGACUGGUGGGAGAUGUGAGGGUUGAGGACUGUCUUAGGCAGAGUCACCAUGAAAUUACAGAGUUCCUGUAGCAAUUGGACAGAUCAGUAUGAUGGGAAAGGUGUUACAACAAAGGUGUGAUGAUGGAAGGACUGGUCACAACACCCCCAGGCAACCCUACAGGCUUCGGGAGGAGUACCCAGAAAACUGCCUGAUGGAAAGGGACCUUAGCGUACUGAUGGACGGUCAGCUGAAGAUGAGCCAGCAGUGUUCCCACGUGGCCAAGAAGGCCACUGGCAUCCUGGCUUGUAUCAGGAACGGUAUGGUGAGCAAGACUAGGGAAGUAACCCUGCUUCUGUACUGAACACUGCUGAGGCCCCACCCUGAGUGCUGUGUUCAGUUUUGGGCACCUCAGUACAGAAAGGAAAUGGAGGUGCUGGAGCAGGUCCAAAGAAGGGCAACAAGGCUUGUGAAAGGCUUGGAGAAUAUGCCCUAUGAGGUGCGACUGAAGGAACUGGGGCUGUCUAGUCUGGGGAAGAGGAGGCUGAGGGGAGACUCUAUUGCUCUCUUUAAAUACCUGAAAGGUGAUAGCAGCAAGAGUGGGGUUGGUCUCUUCACACUGGUGACAGGAUGAGGGGAAAUGGCUUCAAGUUACGCAAGGGGAGGCUUAGGUUGGAUAUCAGGAAAAAUUUAUUUACAGAAAGGGUUGUUAAACACUGGAAUAGGCUCCCCAGGGAAGUUGUGGAGUCACCAUCCCUGGAUGUGUUUAAAAACCGUUUGGAUGUGGUACUCAGGGACAUGACUUAGCAGAGGGUUGUUAGAAUUAGGAUAGUAUGGCUAGGUUGCAGUUGGAUUUGAUUAUCUUUUAAGGCCCUUUCCAAUCUGAGUAAUUCUAUGAUAGAAAAGUGCUAUAAAGGAAGGGAAGAAGGUUGCUCACUUGUAUCGGAAGACUCUAGGUUCUCACAGGAAAGCUUCACCAAGGAGGCAUCUGUAGAAAGAGAUCCUUUCCCAGUGGCAGUCAGCCCUUAAAUGAGGUCUAAGAGAGGUGCAGCCAGGCUCCACCCCUUCUGGUUGCACGGAUGAAUUGCCUUCACCUGUGCUCCCAGGGCUGACUGGGUCCUUUCCCCACGUGCUCAAUCAGUGAUUCAGGCUGUGACUCAACAGUUCCCAUACAGUUCUUUAUUCUUGGUGAUGUCAGAAGGGUGCCUAGCAAAACAACUGUCUUGAACUUCCAGAGGGUGGACAUUGACCUGUUCAGGACACUUGUUACAGGGGUCCCUUGGGAGUUGCUCCUGAAGGGUAAAGGGGUCCAGGAAGCCUGGGUGCUCCUCAAGAUGGUAAUCUUAAAGGCACAAGAACAGGCUGUUUCUGAGUGCCAUAUGGCAAACUGUAGGGGAAGAAGGCCGUGUGGAUGAACUAGGAACUAUUGUUGAGACUCUGGGAGAAAAAGAGAGUCUACAUUCUCUGGAAGAAGGGACAGGCUACUUGGGGGAGACUACAAAGAAGUUGCUAAGAUAUGUAGGGAGGAAGCUAGAAAGGCAAAGGCCUGGCUUGAACUCAGACUGGCCACUGCCAUAAAAGAGAACAAGAAAUCCUUUAACAGAUGUAUUAAUGGUAAGAGAAGAACCAAGGAGAAUUUCCAUCCUUUACUUGAUGCAGCAGGGAAUGUGACCACUGUGGAUAAGGAGGAGGCUGAGGUCCUCAGUGCCUUCUUUACAUCUGCCUUUAAUAGUCUGAUCAGUUAUCCUCAGGGCACUUUACACCCUGACCUGGAGGUCUGGGAUGGAAUGCAGAAUACACCCCUGGUGAUUCAGGAAGAGACAGAGAGCUGUUCCUCCAUCUGGACUGUCACAAGUCCAUGGGACUGGAUAUGCUCCACCCUAGGGUGCUGAGGGAGUUGGUGAUUGCUGAGCCACCUUCCACCAUCUAUCAGUGUUCCUGGUUAUCUGGAGAGGUUCCAGAGGAUUGGAGGCUUGCCGAUUAGACUCCUAUUUAAAGGAGGGACAUAAGGAGGAUCUGGGGAACUAGAGGCCUGUCAGCCUCACCUCCGUACCAGGAAAGUUGUGGAGCAAAUCACCUUGGGUGAGAUCACAUGGCACGUGCAUAGCAUCCAGGGGAUCAGGUCCAGACAGCAUGGGUUCAUGAAAGGCAGGUCAUGCUUGACCAACCUCAUCUCCUUCUAUGACCUUGUGACCAGACUAGUAGAUGAGGGAAAGGCUGCUGAUGUAGUCUACCUAGACUUCAGCAAAGCCUUUGAUACAGUCUCUCACAGUAUUCUCCUGGGCAAACUGGCUGCCAAUGACCUGGACAGGUAUACCCUUCUUUGGGUAAGGAACUGGCUAGAGGGCCAUGCCCAGUGGGUAGUAGUUAAUGGAGUUAAGUCCAGCUGGCGACCCAUUACAAGUGGUGCCCCCCAGGGGUCAGUACUGGAGCCCAUCUUGUUUAAUAUCUUUAUUGAUGACCUAGAUGAAGGGAUUGAGUGUACCCUCUGUAAGUUUGCAAAUGACACCAAGUUGGGAGGUAGUGUCGAUCUGCCUGAGGGUAGGGAAGCCCUUCAGAGGGAUCUGGAUAGGCUGAAUCGCUGGGAUGAGGUUCAACAAGGACAAGUGCCAGGUCCUGCACUUUGGCCACAAUAACUCCAUGCAACACUAUAGGCUAGGGGCAGACUGGCUAGAUGACUGUGAAGAGGAAAGGGACCUGGGGGUGUUGAUUGAUGCUCAGCUGAGAAUGAGCCAGCAGUGUGCUCAGGUGCUCAAGAGGGCCAGUGCAAUCCUGGCCUGCAUUAGAAAUAGUGUAACCAGCAGGAGCAGAGAGGUAAUCAUCUCCCCGUACUCAGCUCUGGUGGGGCUGCAGCUAGACUACUGUGUUCAGUUUUGGGCCCCUCACUACAAGAAAGACAUUGAGGCCCUGGAACAUGUACAAUAACAUUGUACAUAGAGGAAGUGGACCUGGGGGUAUUGAUUGAUGCUAGACUGAACAUGAGCCAGCAGUGUGCCCAGGUGGCCAAGAAGGCCAAUGGCAUCCUGGCUUGUAUCAGAAAUAGUGUUGCCAGCAGGAACAGGGAAACAAUUGUUCCCCUGUACUCGGCACUGGUGAGGCUGCACCUUGAGUACUGUGUAUAGUUUUGGACCCCUCACUGUAAGAAAGACAUUGAGGCCCUGGAGCGUGUCCAGAGAAAGGCAACAAAGCUGGUGAGGGGUCUGGAGCACAGGCCUUAUGAGGAGUGGCUGAGGGAACUGGGAUUUAGCCUGGAGGAGGCUCAGGGGACACCUUGUUGCACUCUACAACUACCUGAAGGGAGGUUGUGAUGAGGAGGGAUUUGGCCUCUUCUCCCAGGAAACAAAUAGGACCUGAAGAAAUGGCCACAAGUUGCACCAGAGGAGACUUAGAUUAGACAUAAGGAAAAAAUUUUUCUCUCAGAGGGUGGUCAGGCACUGGAAUGGCCUGCCCAGGGAGGUGGUGGAGACACUGUCCUUGGUGGAGUUCAAGAGAUGUCUGGACAAGGUGCCAUGAGAUAUGGUUUAAUAGCUCAGUGGAUAGUAAUGGUGAUAGAAGGAUGGAUGGACUACAUGAACUUGUAGGUCCUUUCCAACCUUGUGAUUCUAUGAUUCUAGAUGCAGUACUAAGGGAACAUGGUUUAGUGGGGAAACACUGAUAGUAGUUGACAGUUCAACUAGAUAAUCUUGGAGAUUACUUUUCCAACCUCAGUGAUUCUAUGAUAUCAGUCUCAUUUCAUGUUUUACUGUGCAGCUUUCCCUCUUCUGUCUGCAGUGUGUUCCACAGUACCUGCACAUUCAGAGGGGACCCAAGUGAGUUAGCCUUUGAUGUGCAGGUGUAUUGGCCUUCAGGUGUUCAUUUGCAUUACGCACAUAUCUAUCUUAAGUCUGUAUGUACCACAUCUAUCCAUACCUAUAUCUCUCUCUAUAUCUGUAUCUAUAUCCUCUAUAUCAUUUAUCCAUCUUAACUUUCCUUUAGCAACCUUACUUCAGUUUUACUGAUGAGUUUGCUCAAAUCAGGGUGAUGCGUACUAGACAGACAGAAAUUUGGUCAGACCUCAGAACACUAGAAACCUCCUGAGGUCCCUUCCAACCUCUAGUCCUGUGAUCAGGAGGAACAGAAAGCCAAGGCAUGGAAAAGGAAAGAACAGGAUCCAUUUAGACCCAGAAGAACUGUGUCCUCAUUUCAUGGUGCUGCCUUAUAAUCUCUGCACUCUAAAAGAAAAAGUGCAGAAGCAGUAGGUAAGCACACAGGACAAUCUCCUUGCAAAAUAAGUAACAACCACAAACGCUUCAGUACAGAGGAAGUCCCUGAAGCACAGGGAAAUCCAGCAACAAUCCCAACACUGGCAAAGAGGAAACGUGUAGAAGUCUAUCUAUGGCUUUGCGCUCCGGGAAGGUGCAAGUAAUCAUUAGGAAAGUAUUUCUUCAUCAUACAUUUAUACAUUAGCACUUUGAAGAUGCCAAAUCUGUCUGUCCCAUAAGAGAAAUUGUAAAGGCUUCAAAAUGUAACAUAUUUAUGAAAUACUGCUUUAUCUUGAUGUUAGGAUCUUCCCAGAACUAAACAGUUCCAGUUUUCCCUUAAUUUAAUUUCUCCCUCUCUCAGAUUUCUAGGAAGCCUAUAAUCAAUCUGGAGAUGUAAUUCUACCAAAUACAGUGUAUCAGUGUGCCCGGGAGGGAUCCACGUAGAGUACUAUUGUAUCAGACUUCCUGGAUAUAUAGUUUCAUGCUUAUUUAGCCAUUUAAAGUAAGCGAGGGGAGGAAUGAAUAAGUAGAAUCUCAGAGGUAAAUGUUACCUAUUAUUAGCAGCUCUGCUGUCACCUCAGUGAUGUAUUAGAGGACGUGUUACAUCCUGUUUGAAAAAAAUAUUUUCUACAUCCCAUUCUCAAUGGCAUAAGAUAAAACAGAUUAGAAAAAAAAAGGUGGAAAAAGGUAAAGCCUUGUCAAUACCAUGUAAUGGUAAGAGCAAUGCAGCUGGUAAGUCACCUGGGUAUUUAUAGCUAUUUUCCCAGAGAGAAGCACUAUUAGUAAACUCCACUAAUAAACAAUAGCUUAUUGCAGUAAGAGAAAUAACAUACUGAUUUCAUUUUAAAUAGUGUCUUUGAUCCCCAACUGGGGAAAAAAAAAAAAAGGCAUUAAGAUUUUAUGGCCUCCAUCCUAUUCAUCCUGCUUAUUGGUUAUUUAAUGGGAAGGGAUAAACCUGUAUCUCUGGAAAACUUAAGACCACUUUGCACUUCUGUAUUCCUUCUUAGUGCAAGGUCUCUGCAGGGUCUGCAUACAGUGCUGUAGGGUGACUCAAUUUAGUUCCAGUCAUUGAUAUGAUAUGACAUUAUGUCUCCUAAUGUUUGUGUUAUAUUAGAUCCUUAUAUAUUAAGAUCUCCAUUGUGCUAGAUGCUGUAGAGAGAUUUAUCAGAAAAGUCAGUCCACAGUCCAGACAAUCUAUAGCCUAGGUCAGAGAGGGCAAUGGAAAACUUAGCUAGCCAUUAGAUUCAGUGAAGUUCACAAACACAGCAAUAGAAUUGAAACAACUAAACAAAUGCACACAGGAAGUCUGUGGAAGAUUAAGGCACAAAUAAUCUCUGGGCUCAGUUCUGCUAUCCCACAGGACAAAUUUGGAAAAGUUCAGUUCUGUGCGUGGGUGAUGAACCAACAGAAAGUAAUACACUGGGUUACAUUCCCCAGGUGUCAGGCUCAUCUAAGAUUUACAAAUGGUUAGUUUUAGAUCAGAAUGUUCUAGGUUGUAACAAACUAUUUAUUAAAAUAACUCGAGGAAUCAGAGAAUCAUUGCCUUGAGUCAAAUUUUUCCUUUAGAGAGUAGUUCCCUUUCAGACUGAAGUCUACUUAGUAAAUAUAUAGUACUUUUUGUGUGAAUAGAUGUUCAAACUAAGCAGAGGUUUCUUACCUCUGAGUGACAUGGCAGUAGGAUUAAACUGGUCAGAUGUCUCAGCUGCAUGUUCUACGCAGGUUUUUUUAGUUUGGCCAGAAAUUAAUGGAGGGGAUGCCACCCCAACAACACUCACUUGUCUGAACCAGAACACCACUGUUACAGAAGGGCACCUGUACUGAGCCAACCUCCCUAUGUUUGGGUAAUCUCGAUAUAAAGAAAAGCUCCCAAAUUCUCUCUUUAAAUCAGCUUUAUAUCUCUUGCAGCCCAAAGAAAGGCAGGAGGUAUCUAUUGUAGGCUAGCAUCUGACUCUUACUGAUUAAAUAUCUUGUAGUUUGAAUAUUUAACCAGACCUUGUCCACAGCACUACAGAUUCCUGGCUCUAGAAAUAAUUUAAGCAAACAUGAUUUCUCCUGCAGUGUGGUGUUAGACUAGAAGACUGAUAUGAAGAAGGAAAAAUUUAGAUUUAGUUGAAUAGAUAUUCUAAUCAUUUUCAAGUAUGAGCAAGAUCCAGUAGCGAUUUUAAAUAUUAACAUUAAUCUUCCUAGCAGUGUGUGCAAGGGAGUUACACCUCUCAUCCACAUUCAGAAAAAGAUGUUUUUGUUUGCCAGUUCUCCUAUUACUUUGGCCUCUGUAAUAACAAGUAGUGCCCUCUCAAAUUACACUUUCUGCUACUAGAAAACUAUGAUGCAGUUGCUGUCACUGAAACCUGGUGGGAUGGUUUCCACAAGUAGAGUGAGGCUAUCAUCAUGUACAAGCUGCUCAGGCUACCUGGGGCUCUAAGCAAUCUGAUCAAGCUGUACACAUCCCUGUUCACUGUAGUUAGACUAGAUGACCUUUAAGGGUCCCUUCCAACUCAAACAACUCUGUGAUUCUAUGACAUAUUCCUAAGAAAUGUAUGCAUGUACAUGUGGCUUAAAUGGCCUUUUUUUAUUUUUAAAAGACCAGGCUUAAUGUUACAUCUGAAUUAAAGCAAUCUUCAGUUUUAAGAAGCUUUUGAUUUCUUUGAAAGUGGAUGGAUUUAUCAAGCCAGAGCUGGAACAAAAUUAAUUGUGAACCUUAAAAGAGAGAGAGAGAUUAUGUUUCCAAAACAUGAGGACAAGUAUGACCUUACUGUAAAACUAUGUACUUUAGCCUCUGGGUAAAAGUGGUGCAUGAGAGGUUUAUUUAUGUUUAGGUGUGUAAAUAAACAGUAAGCCUUUGGACACUCUUCUAAUAUUUCAAAUGGAGUCUGCCAGCAGUCUUUUAUUUCUGUUACGGCUUCAGGACAUUAAGACCACAGAAACACAGCUAAAUUAGAUGUUGCAAAUGCAGAAGAAUUCAUGGCACCUCUUGCUUUCACAUCAGAGGGCCCUGAUUCAGUUGAGCAGUGCUUUAUUUAAAAGGUAGGGAUAGCAGCAGUCUGGCAUGCUGCCCUCAGACUAAACUGUUUUUCCUAUGUAAAGGUAGCAGAACCAGGUCCUUUGUUUUAAUAGAUCUGAUGAUUAAACAAGGAUAGUCAUGACCAAUAUAGGGUUACCUUGAAAAUUAUACUGAAUGCAUUUAUACAAAUAUAGUGUGUGGGAGUUUUACCCUUAGAGGUUAACAAACAUCUUGCUCAUAGAGCCCUACACAGUAGAUUUUAUAGAGGUAAAAUAUGCCUGAAAGGAUGUGAGCCAUAAGACAAUCAAUUAUCAGAAAAUUGUAUCCUUUCCACAUGUAACUUUUCCAAGUCUCAAGCCUUUCUGAAGCAUUACUGUAUUACUUAGAAAGUGUUAAAACAAUAAGAACAAAAUAGCCUAGAUUAUUAACUGGGGUAUAAUAAUUAAUAUUAAAUAAUUUACUUAACACCUGAAAUGACAAUAGCCAAUCACUGACCAUUGCUGUUUUCAUGCCUCCUGUAAUCAAUUGGUUUUUAUAUACAAGGGCAAAAUUAAUAGUCUGAUAUAGAUACCAUUUCUGCACUUAGCCUGGAAGCAACUUGUAUGAUUGAAAGAGCCUGUUCUGAAGUGGCAAACACUGUAUUAUACCCUUCAUAGCACUCUGCUGUAGUCCAGGUUUAGGCAGAGAGCCAUAUAAAUUCCACAUUAAUCUCCUCGAAAUUUAGAUGUGAUAACGUACAAGCACUUGGAUGCUUCAGUAACCACCCUUUUGUAGAAUAUUCCACUAAUUCGUCAAAGAAUUAGGAGUUCUGUGCUUUCUUCAAGCUGAGAAUGUUUGAACCCAUAUCUUUUGUAUGUUAUGGAAGUGCUUAGGCCAUGAGGUAUUCUGGUUAACUUGUUCUCCACCCUUUCUCUUGAAGUACGGCCAGAAAUGCUGCAUCAUGGGCCAGGAGGAAUACAGCCAAGAAGAAACCUGACUCUAACUUAAGGUUCAGGCAUUUCAUUAGAAAAGGAAGAAAAAAAUAACAGGGAUGCCAGCACUCAUCCCUAGUACUUGUGCACAUUAUAUAACUAUUAAAACAGUCCUGAGAGCAGGGUAAGGGCCAUAAAGUCCACCAUUAUUAAGGACUCACAUGAGAAGACAACUAAAUAUGUACAGUCUUUUUCUGCUUGUAAUAGCUCUGUGAAAUACAGUUUCAAUAAAUCUUAAGUCCUUUCUCAAGCCUAUAGGUUAUGCUGUUGUAACUUUUUUUUUUUAAUUAACACUUGAUUCCUGUUAGGACCUUUUGAACAUGUUAUCAAGUGCUUGGUUCCCAACCAAAUCAUCACCUUCUAGCUAUUGCACAUUUGGAAGACAGUUUACGUAGGCUAUUUAUUAAGGAAAUACAAGUAAGUACACUCAUUUUAAUCAUCUGCCAACACCAAAUAUGAUGCAACACCAAAGGUUAAAAUAAGAUGCAGAGGACACAUUUCGUGUAAAAUUUUUAGAGUGUAGUUAUCAGUGUACUCACAGAUCUACACUUACUGCUACUU
ensembl:lncRNA